UUAUUUUUGUCUUGACAGAGAAAGCGAUAUGUCUUAUAUGGCUUAUGCAAAAGCCGGAAAAUGGUUAUCACAUAUGCUUUAUGAUACAGAAAGGAAACAUUAGUACAUAUUAAAUUUUACUCAGGUGAUUGGCAUGAUCGCCAUCCGUUAAGGUUUUUUUUUAUAUUUGACGUUCAUAACAGUAAUGGUUAAACAUAUUUAAACUUCGUUGAGGAGAACACAAAUUAAUUAAGUGUAGGGUAUAAAGCAGUGAUGACGAACAUUUUUGAGCCCGAGUGCCCAAACCGCAGUACAUGACAACUUUUUUUCCUUAAAGUGCCGACACGGCAAUUAAACUUGAAUACUGAGGUUUAAGUUUAGAAAAAACAACUCGUACUGUUGUCUGAACUAAUGAACAACUUUUGUUUUAAAAGAACACAACAACAGAGAGUUCAAUGAUACAAA